CUAACAAAAGAGAGCAUAAAGUCCUCAUUAAAAUUGGCAAAACUUAUAUGAGAAAUAAAGAAACAAAAGGAAGAAAGAAAGAGAAAAAGGAAGCAAAAGAGGAAUGAUGCCGAGCAACAAGAAGAAAAAUAAGGUGAGAAAAAAGUUGGAAAAAAGAAAGGAGGGAUCACCAAGGGAAUAACCCCUCCCCUAAAGCCAUUGUUGUUCUCAAGGAGUUUUUAGUGAGAGAAAAUCUAAAGAGAAGAAAAGUUACAAAAAUGACCAAUAACUUGUAUAUCACAUUCUCAAUCUAAGAAAUUUAUCUCAACCAUAAUUGUAAUAACAAGUCAAAUCUUAGUAGCGGGAUACGUCCAUUGCAAUAGCAUGUGAUACUACUCUCCUCCACGUCUAAUUAGAAUGACUAUGAUCAAUAAAUUUUCCCAAAUCCAUACAUGAUCUAAUUAAACAAUUCUUUAUACAAUAACAAAUGUUUUGUAAUUCAUAUUCUGACAAACAACUUAUAUGUUAUUUAUGUAAAUAAUAUGUACCAAAUUUCAAUUCCAAAGGAUUUAAAACUAUUUAAUUUCAAGAACAUAUGUAACAAAAAAAAUAUAUCAAUGUUGGAAAAAUUUAAAUUUAGAUGACAAAGCACAAUUAAAUAAACUAUUACUAAAAAAAACUUUCCAAUAUAAUUACAAAAUGAAAAAUUAAAAUUUUGUCCUAGAUUUAUAAUCAUAGGUCAACUCUCGAAGGGGAAGUAUGUCCUUCAUUGCAAAUAGCAUCAAGUGAGGCGUCUGACUAUCACCAUAAAAGACUUUUUGGACUUGAAGGCUAGGAUAAUAACUAUGAUUAAUAAAGCAUCCCAAAUUUUCAAAAUUGGUAACGUCUAUAGCCAAACACUCAUCUUCCUUAGAAAAACUUGUAUUCAACAAAUUACAAAGAGGGAGCAUAUGAUCAUUUUGACAAAUUUGCUUAUUAUUUACCAUGUCAAACAAAUGCUCAAUUUCACUAACUUUUCCUUCCUUUGCUUGUUUUACUCCAAAAUACUCGCAUACAAAACUUCCCGCUUGAAUAUAUUCUUUUGAUCGGACACCCCAUCUUCUUGAUUUAUUCAUAAACAAUUGAAAUUGAAAGCGAAUGCCACGUUGACUGACCCUAUUGAUGCAAGAAUCAUAACAUUUGCAAAAAGGACCACACUCAAAAAUGUAAGCCUUUCUUCUAACAAGACAUUCAUUAUAAUCAUAAGGAACAACUUUCCCAUUCUUGAUUUUGCAUGAACAAUCUUCAGAAUCUGAGCAUCCAUCAAUGCAAUCACAACCAAUUGACAUGCACUGAUUGGAAACCAAAGAGUGAGUUUUAUCAGCAUGUGGCAAAGAUCUCUUGUAAUCAAGUGUGUUCAUCACUAUAACUGCUUCCUUUUUUUUGUUUUCAAAACUAUCACUUAGCAAAACACCAUCACUACUAAAUGAGUACUUAUCUAACCUGAAUAUUAAUCCUCGAGUUCGCUUUGGCUGUCCUGAAAGCCUUCUCAACUUAAAUUUGAAGACAAGUUUGGCAAAUUUCCCUCUUUCUUGCCAACACUUCUCCACAUGGUAUAAGCCAUCAUAAACAUAAGUAGAUAGCUUAGAACUCUUGCAUAUUUUAAAAAUAACUCUAACAGGAGUUUUUCGUUCCAUAUUAUUCUUUAGUGCAAGAUUUCCAUGUUUAAGCACUUGAUCUUUAAGUGGCCAUUUAUUUCGAACCAUUGGAUUCCCACCUUCACCAGAAUAAGUUAGGACAUCGGAUGAAUUCAUGAAAUUCGGAUAUCGACCACUUGAAACAAUACUUGUAGCUAAUUUUAUUCCAUCCUUCUCAACAUAAUCAAUGCCUUUCCAAAAUUGUUGAUGAAGACCAAUUACGCAUAGCUCAGCUCUAAAUUGAAACUCAUCACCAACUUCAACUCCAGGAACAGAACCCAAUAUUUUUAUUGUGUUCAGCCAAUUAUGUCUAUCACGAAGGAUAAAUGCCGCAAAUUGACGAAUGUUAGGUUUUUUCAUUAUUGCCUUUCUGUUUUCUUUCAAGAGCUCCUCACACACCUCAUGAAACAAUCUCAAAACCUCUUUAACUUCUUUACGACCAGGACUCGAUUCCUCUUUGGCGCCCAUGGCGUAAGGAUGUUGGCCUCCAAUAUUUGAAUUUACCUCUAAAACAUAUUUGCCUUUGCCAAUUGUAGUGUACUUAGAAACAUGGAAAGUAUCAACAUUACCAUCGACCAAGACAUUGUCUUUGGAAACAAGGGUAGCCUCUACAAGAUCAUCAUUCGAGAGAGUGUCCUCAGGAACCAAAUAAUGAUCUUGUUUCUCAUAACCAUUAGUAAGGACAAUGUCCUUAGCAAUAGAGUGAGAAUUUUGUUUCCCAAAAUCCCGCUUGACAUAAAGCUCUUUUAAAAUUCUUUUGAAAGGGGCUUUUAAAUGCAGAUCAUCUUUAGCUUUCCAUUUUGCUCCCACAAGCCUUGAUGGGCAAUCCAUCUUUAAGCAUGUAAAUUUAAGUAUAUAAGACACAAGGUUUUGGUGAUAAUCGUUCAACAUAUAAAUGAACUUAGCAAACUAAUAAAGAAAAUACUUAAAAAUCUUAGCAAGUGUUAUUAAACCAACAACAAGAUAUCAGUAUAAACUCCAACUAUACAAACCUAAGAAACAAGCAUACUCCCAACAGAAACUACUGCUACCAUAACCAUAUGAAAGAAAAAUGCAUAUAUAUAAUUAUUUAUUGAAAACAACUUAAUUUAAGCAAAGAUAGAAAAUAAUAUCAUUUAAAAUAACUACGUACAUCCAUACACAAGAAACAAUUUAUUGUCCCGUAGACAAUUGG
rnacentral:misc_RNA from 1 species